UUCGGAAACGGACGCUAAUACCGCAUACGUCCUACGGGAGAAAGCAGGGGACCUUCGGGCCUUGCGCUAUCAGAUGAGCCUAGGUCGGAUUAGCUAGUUGGUGAGGUAAUGGCUCACCAAGGCUACGAUCCGUAACUGGUCUGAGAGGAUGAUCAGUCACACUGGAACUGAGACACGGUCCAGACUCCUACGGGAGGCAGCAGUGGGGAAUAUUGGACAAUGGGCGAAAGCCUGAUCCAGCCAUGCCGCGUGUGUGAAGAAGGUCUUCGGAUUGUAAAGCACUUUAAGUUGGGAGGAAGGGCAUUAACCUAAUACGUUANUGUUUUGACGUUACCGACAGAAUAAGCACCGGCUAACUCUGUGCCAGCAGCCGCGGUAAUACAGAGGGUGCAAGCGUUAAUCGGAAUUACUGGGCGUAAAGCGCGCGUAGGUGGUUUGUUAAGUUGAAUGUGAAAUCCC
rnacentral:rRNA from 1 species